UCUUUCUGCAUGUGUGUGUGUAAUGUCUUGCAGACUACCUGACGUGUGGGUGAAUGAAACCGAGAGAUCUCAGCUGAAGACUAAAGUGGUGCACUUGUCCCAGUUACCACAGGAAACAGCCAUGAUGCUAGACCCAAACAUCUAUAGAGCACUUCCUCAGAAGCGGCUGAAGCGUAGCCUGUAAGGAGUCAUCUGUGGACUCGAUAGGGGAAAUGCUUGUUCAUAGGAGUUUUAUCUAUAUGGGAUAGGACGCUCUUCAUCUGUCUCUGCUGAACGGGGGGAGUGAAGUGGCAAUAAAAGGAAGUAAAACUUGGCUAUGCUGCAGUUCUCCUUUUUUUCCUCUUCAGUGUUGUGUAUAUAUGGAGCAACUGUUGUAGCAAAGUGUGGUGUAAAAUUGGACUAACAAUUUUUAAAAUUUGUGUUCAUCCAUGAAUGUUUUUUUUUUACAAGCACCAAACUGAAAAUAUUCUUAAUACCCAAUGGUGUAACUGUUUUGUGUAACCUUGUCAGAAAAUACAGCAUAUUUUAUAACUGUUUUGUGUAAAAAUAUUUAUGCAGAUUUGUAACUUAUUUUUAUACCAUGAAAAUGCUGGUAGUCUGUGGAUUUUUGUGAAGGUUUUGAAUAAAACCACAUUUACUGCGAUAAUCUGUUAACUUUCACUUGUAGGAUUAUUUGGGAAUUUCUAGUUGUAAUUAUGAUGUACAUGAAAGAAGGCUUAACACAUUAUCCUAUUUAUACUUACUGAAUGCAGUACUUCUACCUGUUUGUAUGACAAUGAAGUGUGAGGUUGUACCAGUCAUGUCAGACUUCACAAUGCAGUGCAAACUGUUAACAGGAGCAGUAACUCAGUAGUUAAGGUCACUACCGUGUAGCUCUUAAUUUUACCCAGUCUGUAGACAUACAGCAUAGAAAUAACUUGAUAUUUCAGCACACAGUGUACUUGCACUGUCACAGCAACUUAACCCCCUGCUCCCUCUCCCCCAAGUAACAUGAACUGUGUUUAUCAUAGUUAGGAUGGUAAAUUUACAUUACUGCUAUUUAAGCACUUGAAAAAUGUUUUAAAAAGGCGUGUUUUUUUACUGUAUGUAAUGUUAUCCCUGUUGGAAAUGGAAUACUGUGUUUGUAAUAAAAGGGGGGGAAACAGCA